AGGAGAGCGUAGGGGGUGAGGUUAUAGCCGUCCCUCCGUGAGGGGCGCCGUUGCGUCAUCACGCUGCGUACGUGACGCGCCGCCAUCUUGUGCCGGGUCUCGGACGGUGAGUCCGUCACGUAAAGCUGUUACGCUGUCGAGAGUAGAACCCAGCUGCCAGUUGGAGAAGCUCAAGCAAUGAAGAGAGGCUACAUUGAUGGGCUUUGAUCAGCAGUUCCAGCUGAGCCUGGGCUUUCACUAUGCAUAAAAACCCAGACAGAAGGUGUUCCAGAAUUUUGGCAAGGCUGUUCCUAUCAAUAAUGGCCCUUUGGGCCUGUCUUAAGAAUCGGUUCUACCACAAAGGUUCUACUUAAUGUGAAAAGAGCAGAAGCA